GGAGUGCCAAUGGCAGCCACACGCUGCGUUCCCUCACAAGGGCUACCGGCUGAAGGGGGCGCGGCCUGGAAAUCUACUAGGGGCAGGGCGGAGCGUAUGCUUGACGGACAGCUCUCUUUCCAAUCGGAACGUCGCCCGCAGCCCAGUCAGCCUAUGGGACUCGGAUGCUGAAGCAAGAGGCGGGCUCUGCUGGUGGGACUGACUCUUGGGAUUCUGGACUCCGCCAGCCUGCGAGGGGAGCUUACGGAAACAAAAGCAAGCUGCUUAGGGCUAGUGUGUGCGGGCAACACGAGCGCACCCCACUAGCAAGGAGAGGUUCUGUGGGCCGAGCCAACCAGAUCGGCAGCCUAAUCCAAUAGCGGAGUGGGGGGUGUGGUUGUCAGGGACCGCUGCGUUCUGGUUGGCUGAGAAUUCUGCCGCACCUACCUCCGGGUAUCACCAUUGGCUACUAUGUAUGAUGGGCCAGGGGCAGCAACAGCAGUGAGGAAUCUUGUGAACAGAAGCACCUAGAUGCUCUCUUCCUUAAGGCUGUGGAGCGGGGAUAGGUGUAUCUAGGCGGCCAGAAGUCGCUCCAAACUAAGUGUUGUUCAUUUUGGUUUUGAGUCACAGGCUCCUAAUAACCCAGGCUGGCCUUAAACUCGCGAUCCUCCUCCCUCACCCUCUAUCUGGCCCUAAACCCAAGUCAGAGUAGAUUACAGUGCUGCUCCAGCACCUGCCAUUGCCUUUAGGUUUAGAAUGAGGGUGUGAAUAUCCCUGUUCUGGACGUCCAGGUCCGUUUUUUAGGUCUUUCUGUACAUUGGUCUUUGAGACUGCUUGAAGCCUCGCAGUUUGUGUCUCUGAGUGUUACUAUAUUAUUAUCAGAGAAAAUAGAGUUAAAAUAACAACAACGACGACGACGACAUAAUGACAUAAAGGUCGAGGAUUUCUGUUUUGGAUACAGGGUUUCGGGUACCCCGGGCUGGCUUCUCACUCACCAAGUGGCAAGGAUUACUCUGCUUCCCGCCUCUGUUUCCCCAGUACUUGAAAUAACUGAUGUGCCCUUAACACCAGGUUUGUGUCAUGCUGUGGUGCGAACCCAAGGCUUCAUGUAUUCUGGGCAAGCAUUCUACCUCGUGAGACCCAUCCCUCCGGGCUCCAAGAUCAAGGAGGUGUCAUCAGCCAGGAGACAUAACAUCCCUGAAUAUUUAGAUACUCAAAGACAAAACUUCAAAGUACCUAACUGUCAAAUUGACAAAAACUCAAAGGGAAAAUAGCUCAUGAGGUUAGGUGAUGAUUUCAACAUUCUGUGCUCACUAAAAAUGGCCGAAACUGAUGGCAAAAAAAAAAAUAGAUAAAUAUUUAAAUCUAAAUAUCUAAUAUCUAAAUAAAUAAAUAAGGUUACAGAAGAUAUGAUCAACAGCUGGCAAAUGAAUUGAUAUUUAUUAAAAAAAUUCUGCUCAAUUACAAC
rnacentral:lncRNA from 1 species